rnacentral:sRNA from 1 species
AUAUUCAGAAUAUAACUAAAAAAGUAAAUAAAAGAAUUACAUGAAAAUUAUCGUAGCGGCGUCGAAACGAACAAAGAAACCU